rnacentral:lncRNA from 1 species
CUUUGAUCUCGACCCUGACCAUGACCCCACCUCUAACCAUACUUCUGGCCCUGACUCUGACCCAGAUCCUAAUCCUAUCCCUAACCCUAUUAUUAUCUUUACAAUCUAUGUCUAAUCUUACCCUCUAGUGCUAAAUAGCUGUACCCAAAAGCACUUUUAAAUUAUUUAACUUCUUUUCCUUGAAUUCUCUAAGGACAUCCUAAAGGAGAUGUCAAUAUGUAUUUUGCAUUCCCUCUGAGUGGUAUGGCUUCAGAUAAGAAGUUCUAAUACUUUUCAAGACAUAAAAAGUUUGGAGGGUGACAGCACUGGGUUGUUAGGGAUGCAUGUUGGCAUUCGUGGUAGUCAUAGGUGCUGUUCUCCAGAUAUUUUCAGUUCAUAUUUUAUGAAUGCAUUCUGACUGUUCCAUCCCGCCUACUUACAUUUUCACAUGGCCACAUGACUUUUUUUUUGCCAAUGGAGGUGAGAAGAAAUAACAUGUGACUUUUUCAGGAGAAAUCUCCAAGAAACAGAGUUCUAUUCCGCAUACUUUUUUCUCUUUUCUAUAGCAAUGGGGAUCUUAUUGAUUGUCCCUCCUUCCGUCUGGAUCCCUGUGUUAGGAUGACACAGCACAGAGCUACCUCUCACCUGACCCAUGAUGAAAUGUAAAUAAAUGAGGAAGAAGAUUUUUGAGCCACUGAAAUUUGGAGGUUGUUUGUCACCACAGUUUAACCUAGCCCCCAUUUACUGAUGCACGGCUGAAGAAUGAGUCCGAACUGGAUCUGGACAAGACAUGUGAAGAGCGCUCCAGGCUGAGUAAAAUUCAAGUGUUGUCUCAAAGAUAACACUGAGCACGAUAUGUUAUUGGGGUGGGUGUGGGAUAAAUAAGGUAUAUCAGGUGAGAAUAACAAGAAACUCAACUUUAAAAGACGGUGCCGAUUUGGAAGACACCAAAUUGGAAGACAGCAGGAGCUGCCCCAUAAUACCAGUAAAGUGAGAAGCAGAGAUAAACUAGUCCUAGACAGCUGACUCAUGUUGGGGGCAGCCCACUCACAGUGGCCCUGACCCAACUCUGACUAGAGGCCACUUGCUCUCAACACCAGGGUGCUCAAUGGCCCGUCCUGGUACUCUGCUCUACACUGGUUGUAGGAAGGAAUCUACAGGUUGAAAUAAGGAGAUCAUUUCCCUGAGGUUCCGAAGCUCAUAUUUACUCACCAUUUGUUGUUUACUGCUAAUAUUGAGCACUGUCAGUAAAAUACAUAAAACCCUUUGCCAAUCCAGGAAGUGAAAAUGACACUUUACUGUUUUAGUUUGCAUUUCUCUGCUUACAAGUGGAUUACACACAUUUUCAUGUGCUGUUGGCUACUUAUUCAUUCAUAAAACAUACUAAGUGCUGGCUCUUUUUCAUGUCCUUUAUCAAGUUUGGAUCAUGUCAUUUGCUAUUUUCUUUCUGAUGUAAACUCUCAAAGUCUGAAGGGUAUUGUCUUUUCCUGACACAUAUGUUGUAAAUAAUUUUCUGGCUUACAUUUUGACUUUUAAUUUCAUUCACGAUGUUUUUAAUGAAUAAUUUUAAUUAUUAUGAAUGCAAGUUAAAAUAAUUCUUUCAUUGUGGUUUCUGACAUGUCAUGCCAAUAAGGGUCUUCUCCUCCAAGAGCACAGAAAUAUUUGCCAAUACUGUCCUUAAAAUCGGUCACAGUUUCAUUUUUUAUAUAUGCAUUUUACUUCAAUUGGGGCUUCAUUUUACUGAAUGCCCUAUUUGAAGCAAGUUUCUCAGUUAAUUCUUUUCUCAAAGGGCUAAGUAUGGUAGAUUGCAAACAUAAGUGGCCACAUAAUGCUCUCACCUCCUUUGCCUCCUCUCCCAGGAGGAGAUAGCAUCCAUCUUUCCACUCCUUAAUCUGGGCUUGGCCGUGUGACUUGCACUGGCCAAUGGGAUAUUAACAAGUCUGAUGUGCACAGAGGCUGUAGAAUGUGCACGGGGGCUUGGUCUCUCUUGCUGCCCUAGAGACCAGCUGCCCCACGAAGGAACCAGAGCCAACCUGCUGCUUCCUGGAGGAAGACAGUCCCUCUGUCCCUCUGUCUCUGCCAACCAGUUAACCUGCUGCUUCCUGGAGGAAGACAGUCCCUCUGUCCCUCUGUCUCUGCCAACCAGUUAACCUGCUGCUUCCUGGAGGAAGACAGUCACUCUGUCUCUGCCAACCCAGCUGACCGCAGACAUGCAGGUCUGCUCAGGAAAAGCUUUGGAUCACAAUUCCCAGUGCUGAAGAAAAGGCCAAACUCUGGAAAAAAUUUUGAAUAUUUUGAGCCAAAUGUGAGGACCACAACCUGUGAGAACGGAAAAUAAAUCCUGGGACCCCAGACUCACUAAGCCAAAGGGAAAAGCCAAGCUGGGAACUGGCUUAUGCAAACCUGCUUCCCAUCUGGUUCCUAAAUAAGAUAGCUAUUACACAAAGAUAAAAAAGCUACAUCCCUGCCUCUACCUCCAUCGCAUGUAAAAUGUGUAUUCAGUGAACACUGACCAAAGACAGAAGAAUGCAACCAUUUGCCUCUGAUUUACCCACACCCAUUUUUUCCACUUCUUCCCCUUUCCCCAAUACCCGCACUUUUCCCCUUUACUUACUGAGGCCCCCAGACAAUCUUUGGGAAAAGCACGGACCACAGUUUUUCCUGUGGUUCUCUGUUCUUUUCUCAGGUGUGUCCUUAACCUUGCAAAUAGAUUUCUUGAAAUGAUUGACACUCA